rnacentral:rRNA from 1 species
CCUACGGGUGGCAGCAGUGGGGAAUAUUGGACAAUGGGCGAAAGCCUGAUCCAGCCAUGCCGCGUGUGUGAAGAAGGCCUUCGGGUUGUAAAGCACUUUCAUUGGGGAAGAAAGCCUUGGGGCUAAUACCCUCGAGGAAGGACAUCACCCACAGAAGAAGCACCGGCUAACUCCGUGCCAGCAGCCGCGGUAAUACGGAGGGUGCGAGCGUUAAUCGGAAUUACUGGGCGUAAAGCGCGCGUAGGCGGUCUGAUAAGCCGGUUGUGAAAGCCCCGGGCUCAACCUGGGAACGGCAUCCGGAACUGUCAGGCUAGAGUGCAGGAGAGGAAGGUAGAAUUCCCGGUGUAGCGGUGAAAUGCGUAGAGAUCGGGAGGAAUACCAGUGGCGAAGGCGGCCUUCUGGACUGACACUGACGCUGAGGUGCGAAAGCGUGGGUAGCAAACAGGAUUAGAUACCCCUGUAGUC